rnacentral:lncRNA from 1 species
UUAGGAUGCAUCCAAACCAACCACGAUAUUUUCCAUUUCCAAACUCCUCAUAUUCAUGCACUCCUGGCACAAAUAGAAGUGACUCUGUUGGUGUGUUUGUGAGUGUCUCCCAAUCCAGAUGGAUCUUGCUAUCUUCCCUAGGCUGGCCUCGAAAGCCUGCUCUUCAGGCUCUGGAGUAGCCACUGUGCCUGGCUAUAUAUACUAAAAUUUGUAAGGAAGGAGAGAAUGUGUGAAGCUCCUGAAGGAAUAUUGUGUCUAGUUGCAGAAGCCUAGAGCUAUUUUUGUUGGAGAUUUCAGAGGCCUACGCAGAGGUAGAACAAUGAGGCUCCACCCGUGGUGAUGCAAAUGAGUGAUUAACCUCUCCCAGCCUUUAUCAUGUAACCUUGAGAAAGUCCCUCAACCUCUUUAAGAUACAAUUUUCUUACUAUGAGUUAGGUUAGUACCUAGCUAUAGGGUGGUUGUGAAAAUGAAUCGAGACAACACAUAUAAAGUACUUACUACAACAUGUAACAUCUAUCAAUUAUUAUGAUUAUAAAUAUCUCCCCGGCAAAUUUGUAUUAUUUUUAAGGAAAGACAUCCUAUUUCAAUCAUCUUACUUUCCCCUUACCCAUCUAGCAUAGUGCUAGGUAUUAUAAAUGUUUGUUCAAUUGAAUUUAUAUGACUUACUAAUUUUCUAUUUCAGACAGUAUAUUUUAAAAAAUAGAAGUAAAUGAGAAACUUAAAGAUACACCUUAGCUCCUAGGAUAUUAAUCAGUACUCAGCAGCAGGUCAAUAAAUGCUUCGUUAGUUGGCUGAAAACACUAAUCUCCACCUAUGCUUUGGAGUCGCUGUUAAAUGAGUAUAAUGAUACAGGAAAUAUUUGCCAAUAGAAUUAAAUUGUUGCCAAAUUUAAACUAUAUUCUAUUUAAUUCAAGAUGCAUCAUGAAUUGUGAUUUUUCUAUUUAAGCCCAAAGCUAGCCAAUAGUUUUAACUCUGGAAUAGAUAUUUUAGCCAAGGCAUUUUAUAUUUGAGUUAGAAUUGUGUCUUUUAUUGUAAUAUUUUUAAUUUGUCAAUGGUUUAAAGUGUCUCAGAAACAUGGAAUUUAAGGGUGCAAAUGUGACUAGAAAACGGAUUAAAACCUUCACUUCCAAUUUAAUCAAAUGCCUUGCUAUAUUUUUACAUAAAACAAUCCAUAAUUGACUUUUAAAAUAUGAAAAUUGGUUUUGGCCAAUGUCCCAUUCAUCUGUUGCUAAGAUCAGACCUCUCUAGGUAAUCUACAUAGGAAUGGAUCAGAGAGGAAAGGGAGUUUAUAAUUGUCAUUGCAGCAUAUGUCAAAUUUAUUGAUUGCUUGCUUUAUGCUAUUCUUUCAUUUUUUAGCAAGCAUAUUUAGCUCUCACAGAAGCCCUAAUAGUAACUGAUGCCAUUAUUAGUCACAUUAUACAGAUGGGACAAGUUAAGUAGAGAGAGAUUAUUUCACCUGUGCAAAUGUUACAGGUAGUUAGAUUGGCAUGAGUGGGGCAGGAGAGGCCUCUUCUCCCCCUACUCACUAGGAGUAUCAGGUGAUGGUUUGACGAUUAUCACACUGCUCUCUAAAAAUAAUAAUUUGGCAGCCAGUGCCUGGGCGCCAGGGAGAAGACAAUCUCCUGACCAUCCACAGCUAUCAAAUCCACAGCUAUCAACACUAAAGAACUAAUUGAAUUGCAGAUGCCAGCGAGAAUAAACUUUCUGGGAAUGUGUGUUAAGAGAUGAAAUGGCAAAAAACGACCUACCAGGUGCACUCCACUGGAGAAGGGAAGAAAGCUUCAGUUGGGUAUGCGUACAACUUCCUAAACGCACUGCGCGUGCUCACUUCCCAAGGGUAAGGAGGGCACUGCGCAUGCGGGAAGCCCAAGCUAAGGGAAGAAUCAUGGGAAAGACCCAAGCCUAUAAAGCCCUAGGAUCAAGGUCAAAGGCUCUCUUUGAUCUUCAGGAGCCCACUUGGAUCUCUUAAGUGAACUUUCCUUUCUUUCCUGUUCGAAAGCCUUUUAAAAUAAACUGCUCCUGCUCUGAAA